UACGGAGGGGGCUAGCGUUGUUCGGAAUUACUGGGCGUAAAGCGCACGUAGGCGGCUUUGUAAGUUAGAGGUGAAAGCCCAGGGCUUAACCCUGGAAUUGCCUUUAAGACUGCAUCGCUAGAAUCGUGGAGAGGUGAGUGGAAUUCCGAGUGUAGAGGUGAAAUUCGUAGAUAUUCGGAAGAACACCAGUGGCGAAGGCGGGUCUCUGGGCCAUUACUGACGCUGAGGAGCGAAAGCGUGGGGAGCGAACAGG
rnacentral:rRNA from 1 species